ensembl:lncRNA
GCGGAAUUGCACAAAAGGCAUAGCAAAUACACAGGUGGGGGACAUCAGGUGUUGCGUAGAUGUGGCAUCAUAUGGAGACUGUCUGGCUGUGAGCAGGGCUGAGAGAGCAAGCUGCCAGUCAGUAUGACGGGAGGAUUGCAUUAGCUACGAGCACAUGUGUCAACUGGAUCCAACUUGUAUCCAGACCAGGUGGUGGACCUGCACCCAGGACGACCACAGCAUGUCAUGACCAGUGAAGACCACCACAAUCAGAUGACGUCACACCUAGUUCUAUUCUUGUAUCAUGUUCUUGUUUUAUGUUCAUGUUUUCACAGAUUUAAUUUUGUAGUGUGUCAUAGCCAUGUUUUCUGUUUUGUCAUAUGAUAUUACCAUGUGGUUCUUUUGUUUUAUGUGUCGAGUUUUUGUUGGUUCAUUGUCUAGUUAGUAGUUCUGUCUUCUCAUUGGUUGUCUUGUUAUCUUGUUUAGUAGUUUUGUCUUGCCAUUGCCCCUAAGCUUUGAUGUAACCUGCUGUUGGUAAGUUUAGGCAAUCACAUUUAUGUCAAGUUCUUGUGUUCUUAAUUCACGUUCAAGUCUGCUUUACUUCAACUCAUACUUUUAUUUGUUUUGUAUCUUGUUCACCAUUUGUCAGAUAAAACUGCACUUGGUUUCUAUGCUUUGGCUCGCCUUCAGUGGACUAAACGUUACAUGAGGACACAGUACAGAUCCUCAGCUAGGACCUCAGCAACUAGGCAAGCCCUAAGCACUGAUCCUUAUGGCCAGCUAUGAAACAGCUCCACUGCUAUAGAUUUAAAACACAUAGGGUGCAAGGGAAGAGAUUACUAAACCGAUACUCAAGAAUUAGCUGCUUUUACUAAACAUAGUGUAGUCACUUAAUUAAUUAAAGACUUCAGUAACUAUAAACACAGAAAGUGAAGAAUAAUAACACAAAAUUAUAUUUCACAGUGAAUAUAAUUCAUUUGAAACAAAACAAAAUAGAGAAAUUCACCACUUAAGACAAAAAAUAAAUAAAUGAAAAAUACUCCAAUAUUAAAAGGCCUCUUUAAAUAUAUCUACAGUAGGGCAGGUAAAGUUGACAGACCCUUACAGGGAGACGUCUCGGUGAGAGUCACUAGAGGAGGAGGAAGGAGAGGAAGCUCGACUGCCUCCCUCAUCUGUUCAACCAAGCUUGACCAGACACGUCCACAGUACCAGCAUGCAUCUCUCUGAAAGAACCAUAAGGCCUCACAGCUUGCUGGCAGAAUGGUGCGAUGUGACACUGCAUUAGAAUGCUUAGUACCAGUUGGCAGUCAUUCUCUCUCUGCUUUUUCAUUUCUGAAAGUGCACAUGACAGAAGUGAGGGCAUAACUUCUAAAGUCUGUCAGUUCUCCACGCUUUCAGGUUCAUUUCCAUAAAGAAUACAUCUAAGUUUGCCAAGCAUGACUACAUUUUUCAAUUGUCCAGAGCACCAUUUAGGCCCAUCUGUUUUCUGUGGAAUUAGGUGUAUGCCUGAAGCACAAGGCCAGUGAUGAGUCUCUUACAGUCAUCAGUUUUACUUACUUCCCAGGGCUGAAUACACCAUAUAAAUAAGAAAUGAGUUGCUCUUUCAAUAUAAUAACUAAUCACAGUGUAAUUUUAAGACAGAGAAAAAAAUCCUGUGAUGCCAAGCAUAAAAAUUAGAGCUGCACAAUACACAGUAUAUGCACCAUAUUGGUAAUCUGCUGAUCACUGGUUUUUAAUUUCCAUGUUUUAAAGGGUAAGUUCACAAAUGUUUAGCUAGCAUUGCAUUGUUACAGUAUUGGAAGUAUAGGUAAAUUAACAAUUUGUAUUAUUUUUCUGUGUAUUCUUUUUCUUCAGUUUAAAUAUAGAUUAAAGAACCAUCUCUUUAAAAAAAAAAGUGAAGUGAAAAGUGACGUGACAUACAGCCAAGUAUGGGGACCCAUACUCAGAAUUAAUGCUCUGCAUUUAACCCAUCCAAAGUGCACACACACAGCAAUGAACACACACACACCAUGAACACACACCCAGAGCAUUGGGCAGCCAUUUAUGCUGCGGCGCCCGGGGAGCAGUUGGGGGUUCAGUGCCUUGCUCAAGGGCACCUCAGUCGUGGUAUUGCCGGCCCGAGACUCAAACCCACAACCUUAGGGUUAGAAGUCAAACUCUCUAAACAUUAGGCC